ACUGUGUGUGUGCACGUGAGACAGCGUAUGCUGUGUUUGCGCAUGUCAGAGUGUGAGUCUGCACGUUAGGGGAUGGGUGUGCGUGGCAAUGCAUUUGUGAGCGUGAGCAGAUGAAGGCAUGCACGUGAACGGGAAAGAAUGUGUCUGAGGUGCGUCAGUGUGCAUGAGCAUGUUGGAGAGAGUGGGUGGGAGCAGCUGUGAGAUGUGUGAGUGAGUAUAGAUGUAGUAUUUUAAUGUGUGCAUCUGCAGAACCCAGAUGACCCUUACCGGUCUCUUUUUCACACAGGAAGAGCAGUGGCAGUGGCACUGUUAACUGUUCCCGCCCCACGCUAUUUGUGGAGAGUGUUCUAUCAAUCAAGGCUUCACUCUUGCUGGCAACAACAACAUCAGGCUUUGUCCAUUCCAGACCGAUAACAUGUCUCCCAGGCCCAGUGUAGUCUGCUGUAAAUCCCUGGAACGCGGCAACAAUGCUGCAGCCGGCCAGGCAUCAGAGGGGAUGCUGUAACACGCAGCGAGAGCUGGGCUGAAGGACGGCAUGCUGGAAGAGGGGGCUCCUGUAACUGUGUGGUAGGUGAGUUAUAGGGGAACUUAGCUUCCCUUCUAGCAUCAGAACUGCCUCUUUGCAUCAGGCCCUGAGGUCUCCACUUGCCCCAGUUCAGAAAAAUAUCUUCCCUUGCCAAUGCAUCUUACAUCCCCACUGCCACUAAUGUGGUUCUGGGGGAAUUAAUACGUUGGUGGUUGGUUAAGAAUAAGCAAGCGUCCUGAUUUGAGAAAUAUUGUUCAAGUUAAAAGUUGACCUGAAAAGAACCCAGCAUUAAAACUAGUCAGCUAAUGCUCCCUGGAUUCAAUCAAAAGGGGUUAGCCUAUUAGAUUCCAUUCUCUAUUGGCAAUAACUCUUAUCCAAUUGGCAAACCUCGCUCGUUAGAUUUCAGCUUUAAAAUCUAACUGGCUCCCUUCCGCGCUUACAGCCGGAACCUGCCCACUUUGCAGUGAGGAGGCAGGCGACAUUGCUUGAUGGCUGAUAGCAAUCUCACAAUUCCCCCUUGUGUGCCAAGAAGGACAGACAAGUUCUACCACAAUUCACUGGGAAAGAUUCACAGAGCAGCUUAGCUUACUGAAUGUGACCCUGGGUGACCCUCAGUGCCAACUGGCGAAUGGCACACCAUACCAUAACUC
rnacentral:lncRNA from 1 species